GCAAGGUCCUACACAUCCUCAGUGCUUCAGAACCAUGGUGCCUUCCCAGACGACCCAACUGAAGAGUACAGCUCGGAUGAUGCAAGGUCACACACAUCCUCAGUGGCUCCUUCAGAUGAAGAUAUCUCGGAUGAAGAUGCAAUGGAUUCUGAUCCGCAAGGAACACAGGCUGCCAGAAACUUCGCUGAGCUUUUCCAAGGCAUUGUUGGCGAGCAAGUC